rnacentral:tRNA from 1 species
AGCCUUGUGGUGUACAACAUGUUAGAUUGCAAAUCUAAAGAUGCAGAUUGACGUCUGCCGGGGCUU